CGGGUGCAGUGGACUGCAACCUCUUACCGUUUCUUCACGCCUCCCCGAGUUUUUAAAGACCUGAAGUGGGCUCUGUCCUCUCAGGCCGGGAGUUUCCUACUCUGGGGGCUCUUCCUGCAGAACUCACCCACGCAAACUCCCCUUAGCCGCUGGUGGAAAAGGAGACUGAGGUGCAGUAAAAGGAAGUGAUUUUCGAAGGACACACUGGUCAUGAGAGGACCCCGCAAGCUUCUAUGACGUCUGCUCCUGACAUCCAAGCAUCAACAUCCUCAUGGCUCAAUGAUCCAGGACCACCUGAAGCCAAUGAUUCUCCUUCUGAUGUAUCAUCAGAAGGUCAACAGGAGCCUAACACUACGUCAGGAUGCCUAUAUCAUUCACCUCACUUCAUCUCAUCAUGUAGACAUUUUAUCAUCUCACAUCAUCACAAGAAGAAGAAGGCCUACUGGGAAGCCUGUCAUUCAACCCUUAGCAAUAAAACAGCCCUGCACGAAUAAAGAAAAAAUAAAUCAGAAGCCGUAUGCUUUUAAACUCACUAAAUGAAAACCCAGCAUGCAUGCUGCCUCCUUCCAAAUUAAUCACUGGGUUAAAUGCGAGAUGCACACCCCAAAUCAAUAGCUGGUAAGAUCUCCUGCCCGUGCCUCAGGAAAAUUCCACUUCCUUUCUGAUGUUGUCACUUGAAAUGUCAGGAAGUUUCCACUCAUCACCCACCCUUGGAAAGGCCACCAUCACCAUACUUCGUAUUUCCUGGCUGCCUUUCUUCAAAGGAAUCAAGGCAUCUUGCAGAGGGAGCCCACGCAUUGUCACAGACUCUCCUGGAGCUUGAAAGAAGAGCUGUGUGCAGAGAGGAGAAGUGUGGAGAUGCCUGCUUUAGACAGAAGAAGACCGAAGCAUAAAGAAGCCCAUGUUUUGUUCAAAAGUCCCAACGAGACAAGACUCAUAUACUCCCUUGGAUGGCAACAUGGCAUAGUGGGAAGAACACGGGUUUAGGAGUUUGAGAGACAUGGAUUUGAAUCUUGCCCCUAAAACCACUUCAUGCUUCACCUUUCUUAGCUAUAAAAAAAGAAGAGAUAAAAAUACUGUAUAUUACUAGCUGUG